rnacentral:lncRNA from 1 species
GCCCAACCUGGGCAACACGAUAUCUUAGCAAGACUCUGUAAAAACAAAAAAGUACUGGGGAUGUAGAGGAGUAUAAUGAUCCUGGGUUCAACUUCCAGUACUUGGUAAAGAAAGGAAGGAAAAAUAGAAAAAGAGAAUCCUGCCAUUUGUGACAUGAGUAGAAUUCCAGAACACUAUUCAAUUGAAAUAAGCCAAAGAUAUAAAGAUAAACUCAAAGAAGGAGAAAGUAAAAUGGAGGCUACCAGAAGCUGGACACAGUGAUGUGCUCCUAUUGUUCCAGCUACUCAGAAGGUGGAAGCAAGAAGACAGUGUUCACCCAGAAGUUUGAGAUCAGCCUUGACAAAACAGUGAAAUCCUGUCUCAUAGAAAAAGUCUUUGAAGCUCACAUGAAACAAGGGGACACUUUCUGUCUGUACUGGCCAACACAGAAGUCAUCAUACUUCCUGAAGCUUAGGGGAAGCGUCAGAAGGUUUCACAUCAGUGAUGGGACAAAAUUAGCCCUAGCCUAAAUGCUGCUCUAAGUCCCAUAUAAUAAAGCUGAAAAGCAAUAUUCAAAAGAAUAAACCUCAAGAAUAUUUAUAGAAAUGAUAAAUAUCCAGCAUCUAAUAGGUAAAUUUAGGUCUGAAAUCCAGUAAAAUUUAAUUAAG